ensembl:lncRNA
UUUUGACAGUCAGACUGUCCAGAAACGAAUCCCCUUCCGCCCCCCCAACCCACUCCGUCGUGUCUGCAUGACGUGUGCAUGUAGUCUGACCCAUUUGAAUGUGAGAACAGAGCGUAAGCCAAGAAGCCUAGCUUUGUUUUAAAACCCGUCAACAACUCCUCCCUCCUGUGUAAUUCUCCGAUCUGGCUUAACCAACAAAACAAACAACAAACAAACAAACAAACAAACAAACAAACAUUUGGAGGCGUCUAUGAGUUAGAGGAGAACCACAGUGGAGACGGAAAUUUAAAUUAAAAAAAAAAUUAUAUCCAUUCGAUGUCAUUGUAGUUAUGUAAGUGUAUAGAAUACAUAGAUUUAUAUAUAUAUGUACACCCAGUGUGUGAGGCAUGGCAGUGCUCUCAUAUGAUGUAGUGGAGUCAUUUUUAUCAAUGGUUGGGAAUACAAAGUGCCCCUCUUGAUCCGUUUAGAGGCCCCAUCCGGAGAAUCACUUGUGUUUUGCCAAUGACACACCAUCUGCAAUCCGUUGACUCUCUUUCUUUUGCCCGUCAGUCAGCGCUUGAUUUAAAAAAACAAAACGAAAAAAAAAAAAAAAAAAUAUUACAAAAUUAAGAUGAAAGUACUCAAAGUGACGUUUGUGAUAUUUUUAUUUUCAUCGCCGUUGAAACGACUUCCCCUGUGCUUGUGCCUCUCCAUACUCUCGUGACCAUGCGCUGUAGCUCAAAAACAAGUCCGAAAACAAAGCACUUAAACUAAAGCUAAACAUUAAAACCCUAGACACUUUUAGUCCUUUUUGGGGAUGUGCCCUCCUUGGCAGAAAAGAAACGUUUUUACUUAAUUAACAUCCCUUGGUUUAAUGGAUUUUUUGAUGUUCUUUUUGUUUAUUGUUGAGUGUAGAAACAAAAGGAGCAGACCUACAUUAUGAUUUGGAAAGUCACUUUAAGCGGACAUAUAUCAGUGGAUUUUAGAAAGGUAUCUAUCAAGUAUGCAGCAUGUAGUAUAAUCCCCCGGUGAAUUAAACAUAAAAUAAACAAAUUCGCAGAAAGGCAAGUCACUGACAAGCACCUUAUCUUGUUACAAUAUUAAAUAAUCUAUCUUGUGCCACAAAAAUAUAUAUGAAAAGCUAUAUAAAGCAAGGUGUGACAGAAACCCUUAAUAUUUAAGUGUUGAUGUAUAUUGUUAAUGCUCUCUCCCCCGUUGGAUGUGACCCUUCCCCAUGUCACGUGUUGCUACACUGAUACACUUUAAAAAGCCCCUUUCAGUGUAUUCAAUUGAUGAGGCAAGAGUUUAAAUAAGGGUUUGCAAUUGCUAGGUUUUUAUAAUAGGAUUUAAAGAUUAGAAAUAGUACAAAAGUCUAUGAUGUUUCUUAGAGAAGGAGCUUGUAUAUGACAGUACUGGACAAACGUCACAGGUCUGUAGUAAAGGAGCCAGACUAAACCCUAGACAAUAGCUUGAUGGACUGUAUAUUAAGACUAGUGUUGUACGGUAUACACACAAACCUAACUGCGAUGAACUUGGAUCUUAGGACAGGAUCUUUAUUGCAUUUCAUUGUGAAAUGGUGUACAGCAGUGCUUGAGUGUGCAAAUGGAUGUUUUCAUUGUUCUUCAAGCACAUGCGGAGACCACACAGACACACACAUAAUGAAACACACACACACACACGUGCGCACACACACAAAGUUCAGUUCAGUUCCACUCAUCAUGUUAUUCUCUCGAUUUUGUGACAAAAGGUGAUGGUGCGUUUUCAGUGAGUUCUCUGAAUGCAGGUGAUUAUUGGUGAACAUUGGACACAUAUACUGACUAAUUUAAUCUGGAAGUAGAAAGAUGUAACAUGCUCCUUCAGUUUGGGAGCACAGACACACGUACACCUAUACAGACAUGUACACAUUUGGUGUUUUGCGCAUAGAGACACUAGCUAGCAUAAUUUUAAGAAAUCACAUUCACUUACACAGGUGGUGUAUUGUCCAGAAUGUUGUCAUUUUUUGUUUUAGUUGAUUAUUUCAAUGUUUAAUUAGUGAUUAUUGUUAUUAUGUUUUUGGAUUUCAAUUUAUCCUUUCCCAAAACUUCACUUCUUUCUUUUCUUCAUUUCCUAACAUUUUCUCCCCAUUUAAGAAUUUGUUUCUAACCUGCUCACUCUUGAGUUGAAUGGGAAAAAAAAAGAAAUUGCUUUCAUUUACAUGCUAAAAAUUGGCAUAAUAAUAGUAGAAUUAUAGUAAUAUGGUGUUAGUUAUUGCGUUCUAAUCAUUUUAACUAGCUUUGAUGUGUCAUAAACAGUUACCCCCAUAUCCAUAUACCACCCCAUGAUUUAUUGAGUAUAAGCAUUUGUAGCCGAACAUCACACUACCACCCCUAGCAUUUGGACAGUGCACACCAGUGCUUGGUGAUUGGAUCAUGGCCGUAAUCCUGAACGACUCGAGUCCACUUGUCCUCACUCACACAACAUCCUUCCACUAUAGCACGGUCUGUCACUUAAGCCAGUUUGAAAUAGUGAUAGUUCUAUCUUUCUGUCAGACCCCACGUCACCCUACUUGUGAUGCCGUCUAUCUAUUUACUCUUAUCUUUUCUCUGUUUCCAUUGGUAUAUCCAGGCCUGUCUUUCCUUGACUCAGUACUAUAUCCUUAACCCACUAUACUAACAGUAAGAGUAAUAUUAACAUUGAUAACCAGUCUGUAUGUAACCGUAGCCAGAACAUGGGAAAAAAAAAUGUAUUUUCAGCAGAACAAAAAUAACAUCCCUCUUUUGGUUUUUCGUUCAGUUGUGCAAAAUGCUUUUUGUUACUAUUUUGUAAAGUUAUUUACAAAUUGCUACUGUUCCUACAGUUAGUAACCAGAUACGCUUAGCAGAUAGAUAUUUUCAAAACUGUAAUGAUUGCAAUUUUUCCUUAUUUGUAUUUUGUAUGGUAUUGUUUCUGACCACUUCACCACAAUGAUGUAAUUAUCGCCCGGCUAAAUUGAGAUUCCCAUUUGUUUUGUUUCUUUAGACCAUUUGCGAACAUCUUUUUUUUUUUUUUCAGCCUUGAAUAUACUAAAAACUAUAUUCAAGCUGAACAUUGCACCCUUGCACAAAGCAGACUCUCUACAACUGAACCAAAGUGCAUACUUUUCUUAUCCAUUGAUGUCGGCCCAAAAUUAGAUACGUUUCUUUAUUUCGAAAUAUAUAUAUAUACACACAUAUAUUUACAUUUAUAUAGAGAUGUUAAAGACACAUUAUGGGUCCAUGACAAGAAACCGAAUGAAGGAAACUUGUGAUGUUUGCAUCUUUUUGGUGAGAAGUGGCCAAGUCUUGUAUCGUCCAAUUUCAUUGCUAAGAAUAAGAUGUUUUUAUUUUAUUUUUUUUGUCAUUAUCCACUUGUGUGAGUGGACACAGGUCUCGAUACAGACAAGUCCCAACAUUUGCCUCUCACUUGCUUAUCAAACAAUGCCCUCCGCUCUAAAAGCACACCUACAUUAAUGUCACACACACAUAUUCAGUGCCGUAAAACAUGCCCUAAAGUUGUGCUUAGACACACACACAUACACACUCAGUGAGUUGAGCAAUGCCCGUUCUUUUCUGUAGUUGUGUGUCUGGAGAUGUUUUUGGUGUAGCCUCACCCUAAACACCCCCCCCACCCCCAAUCCUGACUGGGUCCUAACACUGCAGGAGCAGCUUUCUGCUCUGUACCUGCCUUUUCAGAUUGUAAGCCUAAGAUGAAGUGUUGUGUUGUACAAUGACUCACCCACCCACCUUCCAGAUGUUCAUGUGGUCUUUGCCUCAUCACAGCACCCUCCUCCCCCUCCCAUGUUUAUUUUUGUUGUUGUCGUUGUUAUUAUCAUCAUUAUUUGGGCGGAUAAAUUAGCAUAUGACCCAUUUGUAGGCAACACAUUAAGUCGUCUGUAAUUUGGAAGACUGAUUCGUUCAUCUGAACUGGUGUUCUGAUGUAAGUAUCAAACUCUACCAACAAGCUUGUGUAGUGAGGAGUAAUCUCAUUGUCAUCAUUAUAAUUAUUGCUGUUAUGAUUCAGAUUGAUAUUAACAAGUCUCAUUCUUAGUGUAAAGAAAGCACCAGAUGGCUUUGGAAAGAAACUUUUUUUUUUUAUUAUUAUUAUUUGUCUUGCUGUUGUGGUCUGAUUUCACAGUGGAUGGGGAGGAAAGCCAGUAGGUUAUGAGGGAAAGAGAAAGAGAGAGUCAAAGUUGGCGGUCUUGUUUGUACGGUUGGGAAAUGACUUACAGUGCUGAAAUAAAUUUUAUUCUUUUAGUAAAAUGUGUGUGUUCAUUUUGACUCUUAGUUAGUCGUUUGUGUGCGUGUGGAAACGUAUUCUCGUUAUAGUGUAUUGUUUCGUUACAUAUUUUUGUAGAGAAUGGUAUCAUAUUAGCAACAUGUCUUCUGUUUAACACUUAAUAUACACUUAUCUAAUGAUUACCAAUCGGCAAAUUCAUUUCUGAUCGUUAUGUUUUUGAGUAUAGUAAUAUACAGUUAAGAGAAACGUACUCCACUGUCACUUUUAAGAAAUCGCACUCCCCUGUUUAAUCUCGCGACAAUUCACGAUCUGCGGGUGGGUGGAAGAUGGCGGAAACAGAUUUUACGUUAGCAGAUGCGAAGACUAGUCGAGAGACUGCGUUAGAGUGGCAUCUGGAAAGAUGCUUGUAAUGAUUCAGCGUCUGACUUGAUGUUCUGGUUGAGUAGUAUUGGGUGGUAAUAUUACGUUGGCUUUCGUCGCCCCAGAUUCACUAACGAAUUGUUUUUUUUUUCCAUAUUGACGGCACAGUAGACCGCCAUUUUUAAUUUCUCGUCUUUCUGUAAACUGAGCUAGCCAGUGAUAGUUAGCAUGGUGAGCCAACGUGCCAGCUUCCAAAUGUACAGUAAGUGAAAUGCCUUGCCUUGACGCUUGAAAGAUAUAUCCAUGUCGCGUCCGUUAUUUGUGCGUGGAAAUACUGAUGCCAAGUUAAUUGUUGUCUCGCAUAACUGCAUAAUCGAACCGUGUCUGAUUAGCGGUCCGGCUAGCAGUAGCAGGUCAUUUCUAGCCAGGUAAGUUAGCCAACAGCCAACCGCAAGUUUGAUGAGUUGGCAAUAAGAAGCAGGGGCUUGUG